GACGAACGCUGGCGGCGUGCCUAACACAUGCAAGUAGAACGAUGAAGGAGGAGCUUGCUUCUCUGGAUGAGUUGCGAACGGGUGAGUAACGCGUAGGCAACCUGCCAGGUAGGGGGGGAUAACUAAUGGAAACGAUAGUUAAUACCGCAUAAGAGUAGAGGUUGCAUGAUAUUUUUAUAAAAACUGCAGUUGAAUCACUACAAGAUGAGUAUGCGUUGUAUUAGCUAGUUGGUGGGGUAACGGCUCACCAAGGCGACGAUAGAUAGGGGUCCUGAGAGGGAUGUAACUCACACUGGUACUGAGAUACGGACCAGACUGCUACGGGAGGCAGCAGUGAGGAAUAUUGGACAAUGGUCGGAAGACUGAUCCAGCCAUGCCGAGUGCAGGAUGAAGGUCCUAUGGAUUGUAAACUGCUUUUGUAAGGGAAGAAUAAGGAGUACGUGUACUUUGAGGACGGUACAUUACGAAUAAGCAUCGGCUAACUCCGUG
rnacentral:rRNA from 1 species